CUGUAAUUGGAAUGAGUACACUUUAAAUCCUUUAACAAGGACCUAUUGGAGGGCAAGUCUGGUGCCAGCAGCCGCGGUAACUCCAGCUCCAAUAGCGUAUAUUAAAGUUGUUGCGGUUAAAACGUUCGUAGUUGAACUUGUGCUUCAUACGGGUAGUACAACUAUAAUUGUAGUCUGUACUGUACCUUAUGUAUGUAAGCGUAUUACCGGUGGAGUUCUUAUAUGUAUUAAAUACUUGUAUUUGUGCGUAUUCCUCCUAUUUAAACCUGCUUCAGUGCUCUUUAUCGAGUGUUGUUGUGGGCCGGUACAAUUACUUUGAACAAAUUAGAGUGCUUAAAGCGGGCUCCAAAUGCCUGAAUAUUUUGUGCAUGGAAUAAUGAAAUAAGACCUCUGUUCUACUUUCAUUGGUUUUUAGAUCAAGAGGUAAUGAUUAAUAGAAGCAGUUUGGGGGCAUUAGUAUUACGACGCGAGAGGUGAAAUUCUUGGACCGUCGUAAGACUAACUUAAGCGAAAGCAUUUGCCAAAGAUGUUUUCAUUAAUCAAGAACGAAAGUUAGAGGUUCGAAGGCGAUCAGAUACCGCCCUAGUUCUAACCAUAAACGAUGCCAGCUAGCAAUUGGGUGUAGCUACUAUCAUGGCUCUCUCAGUCGCUUCCCGGGAAACCAAAGCUUUUGGGCUCCGGGGGAAGUAUGGUUGCAAAGCUGAAACUUAAAGGAAUUGACGGAAGGGCACCACCAGGAGUGGAGCCUGCGGCUUAAUUUGACUC
rnacentral:rRNA from 1 species